rnacentral:rRNA from 1 species
AUUGAACGCUGGCGGCAUGCCUUACACAUGCAAGUCGAACGGCAGCACGGGAGCAAUCCUGGUGGCGAGUGGCGAACGGGUGAGUAAUAUAUCGGAACGUGCCCAGUAGUGGGGGAUAGCCCGGCGAAAGCCGGAUUAGUACCGCAUGAGACCUGAGGGUGAAAGCGGGGGAUCGCAAGACCUCGCGCUAUUGGAGCGGCCGAUAUCAGAUUAGCUAGUUGGUGGGGUAAAGGCCUACCAAGGCAACGAUCUGUAGUUGGUCUGAGAGGACGACCAGCCACGCUGGGACUGAGACACGGCCCAGACUCCUACGGGAGGCAGCAGUGGGGAAUUUUGGACAAUGGGCGCAAGCCUGAUCCAGCAAUGCCGCGUGCAGGAAGAAGGCCUUCGGGUUGUAAACUGCUUUUGUCAGGGAAGAAAUCCUCUGGGUUAAUACCUCGGGGGGGUGACGGUACCUGAAGAAUAAGCACCGGCUAACUACGUGCCAGCUGCCGCCGUAAUAC